UACGAAGGGGGCUAGCGUUGUUCGGAAUUACUGGGCGUAAAGCGCGCGCAGGCGGUCUUCCAAGUCAGUGGUGAAAGCCCGGAGCUCAACUCCGGAACUGCCAUUGAAACUGUUGGACUUGAGUACGAGAGAGGUGAGUGGAAUUCCCAGUGUAGAGGUGAAAUUCGUAGAUAUUGGGAAGAACACCGGUGGCGAAGGCGGCUCACUGGCUCGUAACUGACGCUCAGGCGCGACAGCGUGGGGAUCAAAACAGG
rnacentral:rRNA from 1 species